rnacentral:miRNA from 1 species
CUAACCCCCACCCUAACCUCCAACCCCCACCCCCCUAACCCUAACCCAGAAGUAAAGCUGCCGGGUUAGGGUUAGGGGGUGGGGGUUAGAGGUUAGGGUUAGGGUGGG